GGGAAACAUGGAGAGCAACAGGCAAAGAAACAGGACCAGUUGCCAAGUUCAGCUCCCUCCUCCGGGACCCCCGAGCAGAGGAAAAAGGUUUCUAGGAGCCUUGGAUGGAGUCCUGCAGUGCUUUUCUUGGCAGAAGAACAUGCCAGCCAUCUGCAACCCAGAGCUGCCAGGAGGCACCUGCCAGACACUGAACGGCAUCCGGGUCCUGAGUCUCCUCUGGAUUAUCUCGGGGCACACCAGUCAGAUGACCGCUUGGCUCUCUUUGGAUAAUGUGCUUGAAUGGAAAGCCAGAGUGCCCAAGAACCCGCUGUACCUCUACUCUCGGAGUGGCCCGUUCUACCUCGGGGUGGAUACAUUUUUCCUGAUCAGGUGAUGAGGUUGAAAUGUUGUCUCUGCUGUUACCUUGUUAAAAGAUGUGUGGGUAGAGCGGAGGGCUAUCAGUCCUAGCUUCCUAAG
rnacentral:lncRNA from 1 species